GUGGGAAGCGCACGGCCGCAAAUCCGACUGUGUCACCCCCCUUUUCCGGGUGGCUUGGGAUUGCGGAAGUGC
rfam:Haloterrigena limicola JCM 13563 contig_16, whole genome shotgun sequence.